rnacentral:pre_miRNA from 1 species
AGUGGAAUUGCUGGAUUAUAUGGUAAGUCAAUGUUUAAUUUUUUGAGGAACAGCCAUACUCUUUUCCACAGCAGCUGCACCAUGUUACAUUCUCACCAGCAAU